AUUGAACGCUGGCGGCAUGCCUUACACAUGCAAGUCGAACGAUAACAGAUCUUCGGAUGCUGACGAGUGGCGAACGGGUGAGUAAUACAUCGGAACGUGCCUAGUAGUGGGGGAUAACUACUCGAAAGAGUGGCUAAUACCGCAUGAGAUCUACGGAUGAAAGCAGGGGAUCGCAAGACCUUGUGCUACUAGAGCGGCCGAUGGCAGAUUAGGUAGUUGGUGGGAUAAAGGCUUACCAAGCCGACGAUCUGUAGAUGGUCUGAGAGGACGAUCAGCCACACUGGGACUGAGACACGGCCCAGACUCCUACGGGAGGCAGCAGUGGGGAAUUUUGGACAAUGGGCGCAAGCCUGAUCCAGCAAUGCCGCGUGCAGGAUGAAGGCCUUCGGGUUGUAAACUGCUUUUGUACGGAACGAAAAGCCCUGGGUUAAUGCCCUGGGGUCAUGACGGUACCGUAAGAAUAAGCACCGGCUAACUACGUGCCAGCCGCCGCCGUAAUAC
rnacentral:rRNA from 1 species